AUAAAAGUAAGCUAAUUUAAGCUAAUGGGUUCAUACCUCAUAAAUGAAUAUUUAUAUUAAGUCCAUCUAUA
rnacentral:tRNA from 1 species